rnacentral:rRNA from 1 species
UAGGGAAUCUUCGGCAAUGGGGGGAACCCUGACCGAGCAACGCCGCGUGAGUGAAGAAGGUUUUCGGAUCGUAAAGCUCUGUUGUUAAGGAAGAACGAGUGUGAGAAUGGAAAGUUCAUGCUGUGACGGUACUUAACCAGAAAGGGACGGCUAACUACGUGCCAGCAGCCGCGGUAAUACGUAGGUCCCGAGCGUUGUCCGGAUUGAUUGGGCGUAAAGCGAGCGCAGGCGGUUAGAAAAGUCUGAAGUGAAAGGCAGUGGCUCAACCAUUGUAGGCUUUGGAAACUGUUUAACUUGAGUGCAGAAGGGGAGAGUGGAAUUCCAUGUGUAGCGGUGAAAUGCGUAGAUAUAUGGAGGAACACCAGUGGCGAAGGCGACUCUCUGGUCUGUAACUGACGCUGAGGUUCGAAAGCGUGGGUAGCAAACAGG